GUCUGUGGCCAAACCUCCUUGUCAAAGCCUGAUCUUGUCAGAUCUCAGAAGCUAAGCAAGGUUGAGCCUGAUAGUACUUGGAAGGGAGAUCGCUGGGAAUUCCACGUGCCACAGUGA
rnacentral:rRNA from 1 species